GAGCUGGAGGAGCUCAAGAAGGGCGUGGAGCCGGCGUGGGAGUGCUUGGUCCACCCGCUCGAGCGCAUCGUCGAUAGGCUUGACAUCGUAUGGAACGGCAUCGACCACAUCAAGGUCGUCAAGGACUCGCUCGACCUCCGCGCUGCUGUCGAGGACGUCCAGGUAGUCUCUUCUUCUAUCACGUCGCCCAUGAUCUGGAUGGACGAAGCAGCUAAUUUGUUAGCGCAUCAUCAGAUGUUGUCUUUGUAUUUCUUCUUGCUCCAUGAAUUAUCCAGCAAUAUGGUGCAUAGAUAGAAAUUUCACAUAGUUCUUGGUUUCGUGCUUGCACCUUUGGUCCACAUGGUUUUUGUGGGGAUAUGGUACCAGACUAGAGCAUACAGGCUGAUGAUUUCUAGACGCAUAUAGAUUGUGGAUGCCAUGUCUGAAAAUUUUCAAUUUUGGAUGACUCAAACCGGCUCUAGCUAGCAAUCUCUCUCUCCAUCUCUUUGUAUGUGCGCGUCUGUGCAUCCAUUGCAUGUAAAAUCAUGUUUUCAAACUCUUCUACUGUCAGAUAGACUGACCAUGAAUGCACCAACACAUUGUGUCAGUUUUCCAUGCUCUGUCUAGUACUAGUUCCCAACUUCCUAUACAUAUAGGAGUAUUUUGCUUGCUUUGGUUUCCAAAGCAAAAUACCAUGGCUGGGCGACGUCCGUCUGUCCUGGGUUACGUUAGCAUACUAGUACAACACAGCUAGUCAUAACAAGGUUAGUUCAUCAUAUACUGCGCUUGAUAUAAAUGUUUAGCUUCUAACAAAAAGUAAUUUGGGAAUAAAUUCUUCCAUCAGUUUAAUAUGAUUUCUAUUGAUAGAUUUUUCUAGAACUGUUGAAAUUGUGAUCAACACAGUAUACUGUUGGGUUCUUACCCAUAACAUGAGGAUAUCUAUUUUUCAAAUGUGGAAGCCAUCAUAACAUCAGCUGGUCAUAGUUAUACGCAUUGUUUAACUUUUUCUUCUUUGAAUUUCACAUUGCAGUUCUUUGAUGUAGUGGGGUUGUGUUGUGGGUACCUGGGUAACUAAAGUUGCUUCUAUUCUGUAACUGUAUGCUUCUAGGAAUGUCACAUUGCAUCGUGCAGACUAUGGGUCUAGAUCUGGCAGUUGAAAGUGCUUAAUCUUUCUAUAAGUUUCAACUGAAGCUAUUUGUAUACAAUAAUUUACCGAAUAAGCAAAAAUUUGUGAAUAUACUACGCUUGAUGUUGAUCAUCUGGUGCAUUAGUAUGCAGUUCUCAUUGUCAGUUCUUGUUUUCUUGAUUCAUUUAUACUAUAUGAUUCAGGUUUUAUACUUUGCCAGUAGGUAGCUCAUACUGCCCGCUUGCUUCUGCUUUGAAUAUUGUGGUCUGCAUGCUAUAGUCACUGUGCCCUUAGUUGUUUUUUUGUAGGGAGCUAUGCUUAUCAUCAGAAACUCUUGGUGAUGAUGUUAUUCCUCUUUUGGUUCAUGUGUUGCAAUUAUAUACCUCAUAAUUCUACACCAUGUGGUGCACUUAAGUAUCUUAGUGACUUCAUUUGAUGUGUGUAUUUCUGUUAAUUUUAAGCUUCUGUUGCUGUGAAAAUGUACCUCACUGACCGUCUGUCUAUUUAUUGUGUACUUCUUGCAUGAGGAGGUGACUAGUGAUGUGGCGCGCCAAGCAGCAAUAGGGGAAGGGGGUCUCCUGAUCAAGGAGGCGGAGGAGUAGGGGCGUGCCCAGCCGGCAGCCAUGUCCUGCUCGUGGGGGAGGGGCAGGAGGGGUCUGCUCCUCUGCUUACAUUGUGACCGCGGCAGAUGCCUUGGUUCAGCCUCUACAAACAUACCCGAAAAUGGUGUUUCCUCUCAUUUACAAGAGCUCCAGCAAAGUGAACUAGGAAGUAUAUUUGAAGUACUAAGCCGUGUAGCAAAGAGUUAUAUGUUCUGUCUUAUGUGUAAUAGACUGGAAAGAUUUGAAUAAUAUUGUAAUAGACUAUGUACAGAUUGUAGUUGACUUAUUUAUCCUUCUUUGACGAACUACAUUUGUUAUGUUCUGUUUGAAAUAUUCA